rnacentral:rRNA from 1 species
GAUGAACGCUGGCGGCGUGCCUAAUACAUGCAAGUCGAGCGAACGGACGAGAAGCUUGCUUCUCUGAUGUUAGCGGCGGACGGGUGAGUAACACGUGGAUAACCUACCUAUAAGACUGGGAUAACUUCGGGAAACCGGAGCUAAUACCGGAUGAUAUUUUGAACCGCAUGGUUCAAAAGUGAAAGACGGUCUUGCUGUCACUUCUAGAUGGAUCCGCGCUGCUUUAGCUAGUUGGUAAGGUAACGGCUUACCAAGGCAACGAUGCAUAGCCGACCUGAGAGGGUGAUCGCCCACAUUGGAAGUGAGACACCGUCCAGACUCCUACGGGAGGCAGCAGUAGGGAAUGUUACGCAAUGGGCGAAAGCCUGACGGAGCGAGGCCGCGUGAGUGAUGAAGGUCUUCGGAUCGUAAAACUCUGUUAUGAGGGAAGAACAUAUGUGUACGUAACUGUGCACAUCUUGACGGUACCUAAUCAGAAAGCCACGGCUAACUACGUG